CUGGAGGUGUAAGUAUAGCAAUAUAUUCAGCUGACCAGUACUAAUAAAUUGAUUGGUUUAAUAG
rnacentral:rRNA from 1 species